UUCUACCAAAUUGGACAAAAAUUUAAGCAUUUAUAUUCUCAAGAAGUCAAACCGAAGGACAACUUCAAAUGGAAACUAUUUCCAAAUCCGAACCGAUAUGGCCCAUUUCCAAUUUCCAACGACAUACAUCAAUAAAUAGUCACUGUACGAAAUUGCAAGUAGAUAUCUUAAUUUGUUCAGCCGCUAUCCUGAUUUCCCAAGAUAGGCGGAUGGAGGGAAGAAUAUAAAAAUAUUUCGAGAUACUACAAACGGAAUGACAAGAUUAUUAGAUCUCUAUCCUUGAUACAAUUAUCGGCAAUGCUUAUCUUCAAAUUGUUUUCAUAACUUUCCAAAUGAAAUGCAAAUUCACAAAUUCCAUAUUCGGUGAAUUACCAACAAUGACGAUGAUGACGAUUAAAUCCAUCAUUUUUGAUUGAUGUCUAAGAUUAGAACAUUUGGAAAUAUUUCUCAAUGGGAAUCGUAAAUUCUUAUGUUUUUAUUUGACAUUGUGCGGGAAUUUGGUUAUUUCCGUCGAUAAUAGAAAAAUACCCCGAAUAUUCGA
rnacentral:sRNA from 1 species